rnacentral:rRNA from 1 species
GAUGAACGCUAGCUACAGGCUUAACACAUGCAAGUCGAGGGGUAGCAGGGUAGCAAUACCGCUGACGACCGGCGCACGGGUGAGUAACACGUAUCCAACCUUCCCAUAACUCAGGGAUAGCCUUUCGAAAGAAAGAUUAAUACCUGAUAGUACUUAAGAAAGGCAUCUUUUUUAAGUUAGAGACUUAUUGGUUAUGGAUGGGGAUGCGUUCCGUUAGAUAGUUGGUGAGGUAACGGCUCACCAAGUCUUCGAUGGAUAGGGGUUCUGAGAGGAAGGUCCCCCACAUUGGUACUGAGACACGGACCAAACUCCUACGGGAGGCAGCAGUGAGGAAUAUUGGUCAAUGGGCGAGAGCCUGAACCAGCCAAGUAGCGUGAAGGAUGAAGGUCCUAUGGAUUGUAAACUUCUUUUAUAGUAGAAUAAAGUGAGCCACGUGUGGUUUUUUGUAUGUAUACUAUGAAUAAGGAUCGGCUAACUCCGUGCCAGCCGCCGCUGUAA